AUAACUUUGAAAGGGCCAUAUGGUUAUUUUAUUUUCUCAAUUCUCACUCAAUUCUCACUUCUCUUACCUUUUUACUCUCUUCAUCUCUCUCUAUAUAUAUCUCUAUCUACCUAGCUUUUUCUCACUUCUUCAACAUAAGCUAAGUUAAUUAACUUGGUUUUUAUAUGUAGAGAUGCGAGAUCUGAGGCUAAUUAUGGUAUUUCAAGUCCUGGUCAUGCUUUUCCACAGCUUUCUUGAACUUCUUUUGUAAUCUUAAAUCUGAUUUCAAGGUUAAAAGCCCUAGAAGCUCAAGAAAGCUGUGGGAGAAUAUGGCAAAUUCAGGCUUAAUUCUGGUAGAUAAAGUGAAGAUAACUCCUCUUACAGAUUCAGAACACAAGUUUUUCAACCGUGACAGGGACAAUUAGUGAGUUUCACAAAUUACUGUUUGUGAAUUGUGACACGACAUGAAACAGAAGACAGAGAUAUAGUAACUGAUGAUGAAGACUUGAAUUCAAUGACAUGAAGGAACUGAAUCAUCCUGAACCAAAUUAUUUUCCUAGUACGGAAUUAUUCUUGCUUUUUGAGUUUUUGACACCACUGUUGAUUCCUCACCUUGUAUUUAUUUUACAUAAAGUAGAAAAGAAUGUGAUAGUAUAUUUGUUAUGUCGGGGUCUAAACAGGAACGUGUCAGUUUCCAUGCAGUGUUAUUUCUUAACUCAUGUUGGUUCUCUUAAUUUUAAUAUUUUAACUUAAACCUUGGUUAAGAGAA